rnacentral:lncRNA from 12 species
CUAGCCAGGGGGUUGCUAUGGCAAUAGGAAUACACUGUAGGUUUUAAGAGAUGUAAUUUUCUGUGAUUCACUGUAUAUUUUUAGCCAUUUUUCUUCCUGUAUUGUCUCCCUGUGGCAAUUGCCUAUUAAUGCUGGCCUGCACCAAGAUUGGACUAAACGGUCCAUUCUCAGAAGUGAUGAAAACCCUGGAGAUCAGACCUGAAGUGACACACUUGUUGAUACCUGCCUUGACUGCAUGGACUAUGCCACAGCUUCCGACUCCCAUCCCAAGAACCUAGUAUGCUGCAAAGGGAGAAGCCUGGCUGCCACUCUGGCUCAGCCACUUGGAGUCGUCCGUCCUUGAGAAAGUUUCUCAACCUCCUGAGGCUUGUGUUCUGGAGCCUAAAUAGAAAUUGUCAUCAGUGCUAUUGAAGGGAUGAAAUUAGAGUGUGUGUGGAAAAGACUUUAUAAAUCAGAAUGUUACAGAAAUGGUUAUUUUUCUGCCUGAGAGAGGUAUUUACAAUGUGUUUUUCCUCCUUAUAAAAGGAAUGUGAAUUAUUUGUGGACAUUUUUAAAAUUACAUUUGAGUAAAAAAAAAAAAAAAAAGGAAUCAGAAUCACUCAGAGUUAACUACUAUGCACAUUCAGUAUUUACUCCCAUCUUUUUCCCCAUCUGUAUAGAGAUAUGCUUUUGUUGAAGCGAGGAUGUGGAUACUUAAGACCCCGGGGGUGGUGCUCUUCCCCUCACUAGCCUGCAGAGCUACUACAGCAUUUCCCUCCACCCUUGCUGCAGCAAAGGGCACAGACUUCCUCUCUCACUAGAAACAAGGUUGAGGGGCCUUCUGUGUCCCAAGUAAGCAGACCUUAGAAAUGGAACCUGUUCUUUCUGAUAGAGACCUUCAAACUUUGUACUCUGCAAACCAUUUUGGAAAGAUAAUAUGCUUUUAUGGAUCACUUGCCUGAGUAUCCUCAUUUACAAAUAGAUUUUUGAAAUUUAAAAGGCACAGACUCCUGUAGCUGUGUUGUUAAAAUGCUCCUACUCGCAGGGGCGCCUGGGUGGCUUAGUCAGUUAAGCAUCUGCCUUCAGCUCAGGUCAUGAUUUCAGGGUCCUGGGAUAGAGCCCUGUGUUGGGAUGCCUGAUUGGCAAGGAGUUUGCUUCUGCAUCUCCCUCUACUGCUCUCCCCCAUUCAUGCGUGCGCGCUCUCUCUCUCUCUCUCUCAAAUAAAGAAACAAAAUCUUUGUUUAAAAAAUGCUCG